rnacentral:lncRNA from 1 species
UAUUCAGUCUAGUUCCUACUUUCUUUCAGUUUAUUGCUACUGUAUUUAGUAUAUCUGCUCAUUACCUUAUACAUCUCUUUCGUUUACUAUUGUUCCUACUAUAUUUCCACUGACCCGUGUUGUUGUAUAGCUUUUCCUGAUUCGGUGAGUACUCCUCGCCUUCUUCGGCUUACGGUACCCACUGGGAGGGGAGACAUGUUUACAUGUUCUCACCUCCCCCACUAUUUUUCAGGUAUCGCGGGCGGUGAGGGUUGAGACGAGACGUGAGACAGGUACGUAGCGGUCGAUAGAUCUUCCGACCCAGGUUGUUCGGUUUAGCUCUUACCCUUUUUAUUUCUGUUGAUAUAUAGCUUAGAUAGUUUAUAUGGUUCAGUAUUUUUAUUACAUUUGAAUAUGUGGAUUUUCAUGAAUGUAAUAAAAGGAUUUCUGGAUUUUGUAAAAUAAAGGUUUUCUACCCCUCGUGGUAGCGUUUUUAAAGAAUAAAGGUUUCCGUGUAGGAAACAAUUUUCAAAAGAAUUUUUCGUGGAUUUCUGUUUAAAUAUUGAAUGUAAAACUGUGAUGUGAAUGAUGAAUGUAUGAAUGUGUAGUGAUCUUUAUAUUCAUCUAGUUGUGGUUGUAUCCUGGUUGUAUUCUUGUACUUGUGCGACGCCGUGCAAAUACAGGGGAGACUCUGUCCGUGUGAACAGUGGAUCUCCUGUAUUUGUGGCGGAUCUGGCAUACUCUGGGGUUAGGUUUUUUUUAAAAAAAAAAAGAAAAAAAAAGAAAAAAAAUUUUCAGACGCCUUUCCGCUAUGCUUUAAACUAAAAAGGGACCCAGGGCGUGACAGAUUAAAGUGGU